GUCCUUUUUAAUCUGGCCUGAAUUAUUUUGAUUCUACGCCCUUCAGGAAGGACCAUAGGAAAUUUUGCCUCUUACCCCCGGUGUGAUAGUUUGUCAGAAUCGGUCAUUGUGUGCACGAACACUUU
ensembl:snoRNA B0250.19 ncRNA